rnacentral:rRNA from 1 species
UACAAUGGAGAGUUUGAUCCUGGCUCAGGAUGAACGCUAGCGGGAGGCCUAACACAUGCAAGCCGAGCGGUAUUUAUUCUUCGGAAUAGAGAGAGCGGCGUACGGGUGCGUAACACGUGUGCAACCUGCCUUUAUCUGGGAGAUAGCCCUCCGAAAGGGGGAUUAAUAUUCCAUAAUAUAUUAAUUGGCAUCAAUUGAUAUUGA